rnacentral:pre_miRNA from 1 species
AAGUGUCAUGUCAUCACACUUUGUCACAGACAUCUCAUUGUCACAUCACCACCUUCAUUGACGUGACACUGACGUGUUAGUGAUUGGACGUGAUGACUUGACACUCCGU